rnacentral:rRNA from 1 species
GACGUAGGGUGCGAGCGUUGUCCGGAUUUAUUGGGCGUAAAGGGCGCGUAGGCGGCCACCGCAAGUCGACUGUGAAAUCUCCGGGCUUAACUCGGAACGGUCAAGUGAUACUGUCGGACUAGAGUACAGAAGGGGCAACUGGAAUUCUCGGUGUAGCGGUGAAAUGCGUAGAUAUCGAGAGGAACACCUGCGGCGAAGGCGGGUUGCUGGGCUGAUACUGACGCUGAGGCGCGAAAGCCAGGGGAGCGAACGGG